GAUGAACGCUAGCGGCAGGCUUAACACAUGCAAGUCGAGGGGCAGCGAGGGUAGCAAUACCUGUCGGCGACCGGCGGAAGGGUGAGUAACGCGUGAGCAACAUACCCGUAUCAGUGGGAUAAUACAGGGAAACUUGUUCUAAUAUCGCAUAAUAUUAUUCAGAGGCAUCUUUGGAUAAUUAAAGUUACGGCGGAUACGGAAUGGCUCGCGUGACAUUAGUUAGAUGGUAGGGUAAUGGCCUACCAUGGCGAUGAUGUCUAGGGGUUCUGAGAGGGAGGUCCCCCACACUGGAACUGAGACACGGUCCAGACUCCUACGGGAGGCAGCAGUGAGGAAUAUUGGACAAUGGAUGGAAAUCUGAUCCAGCCAUGCCGCGUGCAGGAAGGCGGCCCUAUGGGUUGUAAACUGCUUUUGUACGGGAGCAAUAAGGUCUACGAGUAGAUUGAUGAGAGUACUGUACGAAUAAGCAUCGGCUAACUCCGUG
rnacentral:rRNA from 1 species